rnacentral:rRNA from 1 species
CCCUACGGGGUGCAGCAGUAAAAAAGAAUUGGAACGCAAUCAUAAAGACGAUACCCAACGCAUGGAAUUGCAAGACUUCGUAGAUGACGGCAUCGCCGCUCGCGAACACCUGAUCAAAGCCAACACCCGCCUGGCGGUCAGUGUUGCCAAACGCUACAUGGGCCGCGGCGUUCCCUGUUUGGAUCUGAUCCAGGAAGGCAACCUGGGGUUGAUGAAGGCGGUGGAGAAGUUCGAUUACCACCGCGGAUUCCGCUUCUCCACUUAUGCCACCUGGUGGAUCCGCCAGACCAUCACCCGCUC